GAAUCAUACUGCAUAGAUAAUUCCUCACCGGGGCGUGUCUAAUGCAAACAAAUCAUUUCCAGCCAGUAUGCAGACAUAUAGCGAGCAUAAUUUAUGUACCAAGGACUCAUUGAUCACCCUGCUGAUAGGCGAAGCUAUACCUGUCACAUUUCAGGAAGAGUUACUCCUCUUCAACAAACAUCUGGAGUCUUAAUAACAUUUUGUCAUAAAUUAGAUGGGUUUAUACCUACUUAAAUUAUAAGUUUCCACUACAUAUAGCAGCAGUUACUGUAUGUAUAAGGUCACAUAACUGCCACCUAACACAUAAUUGCUCUUCUGCCCGCACAACUUAGUUAGAAUAUCUCAACAAUCAACAUCGCAGUAAAGGCAAGACAACAGCACUUAAAGUAUGUAGCAAGAUUAAGCACGACAAAUUCUUCAAAUAUGCAUUCGAGGCACUUUGAGAUGAUUUGCACCUUCCCGAGAAUGUCACCACCCUCCUGGAGUGAUAUCUUUACGCCCAGGAAAAUACCACAUCGAUCAGUAAUGCCCAUGGGGGACACAAGACCCUGCUCCAC